rnacentral:rRNA from 1 species
GACGAACGCUGGCGGCGUGCUUAACACAUGCAAGUCGAACGGUAAGGCCCUUCGGGGUACACGAGUGGCGAACGGGUGAGUAACACGUGGGUGAUCUGCCCUGCACUUCGGGAUAAGCCUGGGAAACUGGGUCUACUACCGGAUAGGACCACUGCCUACAUGGGUGGUGGUGGAAAGCUUUUGCGGUGUGGGAUGGGCCCGCGGCCUAUCAGCUUGUUGGUGGGGUGAUGGCCUACCAAGGCGACGACGGGUAGCCGGCCUGGGAGGGUGACCGGCCACACUGGGACUGAGAUACGGCCCAGACUCCUACGGGAGGCAGCAGUGGGGAAUAUUGCACAAUGGGCGCAAGCCUGAUGCAGCGACGCCGCGUGAGGGAUGACGGCCUUCGGGUUGUAAACCUCUUUCAGCACCGACGAAGCGCAAGUGACGGUAGGUGCAGAAGAAGGACCGGCCAACUACGUGCCAGCCGCCGCAGUAA